GCAACCCAAAUGGACCAUGCCGGGUCGGGUCAAGUACAUACCAAAUAAAGUUAUGGACUUAGACACUAUAUCCAACAGUCUCCCACUUGGAUAAGUCUAAUAACUAUAUUUGCAAAUAUGACUUCAAAAUCCGACUAGCAAUCGUAGCUCUUUCAAAGUCUCUCGGAACUGAGAUGAUGAUGAUACGCCAUUUAAGAUAAGUGAUCAUAUAAUCCUCUGUUCUCAUGAUAUCAGCCGGACAAACACAUGGAACAUGGUCUUACUUAUUGUCCAACAUUUGUUUCUCGAUCUCUGAUUUGUUUCGACAUAGAACUAAAUUGAACACAUCAAUUAGGUUCUGACCGGGCCCGGUACAUAGGUCAAAACCAAAUCAUCGAGGGGCCCAGAUAUCGCUUCUAUUUCUAGAAGGAACAGAUAAACUUCGACUGAUAUGCUUGUACUAACUACUUGUUGAAUUAUUCACAAAGGCACGUUUUAUAACAUCGAGUUACCAAUGCGUUUUCGUACAAUCAAUGAAUAACCAACUCAUAGUCAACAACUCAUAUCUCUAGGUUUGAAGAUUUAUAUGAUAUUACCGUCUCACGAUCACUCGAGAUAAAUUCCAUGAAGUGAUGCAAGUGAGCGUGGGUUGAAUCCAAUACUCAGCCCUUAUGAGUACUCAUGAAUGUUGUAGCAACCACUGCAUUAUCUAAAGCACUUUAGACAAAUCAUACAAGCCAAAUUCAUGAUAGUCUUGAUUCAUAUCUACUUCCAACAUAUGACUGGCUGUGGAUGGUUUGAAUAAUAUGCUAUAUACCAUAACAUAAUUAUUCUGUAAGUCAAAACAUGCAAAGUGAAACACAAGAAUAAUACUAAUCUUAUAUGGCCCCAACACUUUGAGUGUAAAUAAAAACACCUUUUAUUUAAGCACCAUAUUGAUUAGUCAUUAUUUAUGUUUCGAUUAAUCAACAUUAUGCUUGAACUAAAACAUUAGUUGUCCCAUGCUCCAAGCAUGUACACUAAGUUUUUCCAAACAACAAUUAUGCCAUACUCCAAGUAUGCAUACUAUGUUUACAUAUGGUCCUCUCUUUGUGAAAUAGAUCAAUUGACAAUAUGCUCAUUUCACAAUUCCAAUCCUUGUUGUAAAUGCAAGAAUACCAAACUCUUGCCAUUUACGGUAAUCUGUGAGAUUCUAAACUUAUAUGCAAUGAUCCCCUUGUAAUGACUAUGCAUAGAAGUCACAAAGACUUGGCAACAGACAUUACAAAGUAUUCCAAUGGAAAACAAUUCCAUGGAAAUGAAGUCUCAAAUUCAAAGUACAUUCCUUUGAACAUCCUUCUUAGCAUUAAGUUCUUUAAUCUUACACAGAUUCAAAGAAUAACUUCCACCUAUGGAGACAAUUCCAUAUUACCAUUUUGACCAUCACUUCUGAACAAGAGUUGCCUCUUUUCAAAAUAUGUCAAUAUGGUCCUUACUCUAUACUUCUAAUUGUCCAUGAGCAACCAAUCUUUGGUAAACCUCAGAUUGUCCUCGACAAUUUUGCUUAAUCAUUUUAGUCAUUUCCAGUUCUAUUCCUUUUUCCAUCUUAAUGCCCUAGGCAUUUGGAAAAUUUAGAAUGGAUGAAUAUUAUAGCACAUGUAAUCAAACCUAUACCCAAAGCAUAUGGGACAUGAUUUAUGCUAUAAAUUUUUUUAUUUGCCAUGUUUUCAUAAUUCGAACUAUGAAGAGGGAUGCCGUAAUCAUAAUCGAAUUUUGAGAACGCAACAUAUAUAGAAUUUCCUUAUGUUGAACCAUUCCAACAUAACAUUCAUAUAUAUUCUUGACUAAAGCAGAUUAAAUUCUCAAUCUAAGCUUACAUAUAUAGAAUUUCCUUAUGUUGAACCAUUCCAGCAUAACAUUCAUAUAUAUUCUUGACUAAAGUAGAUUAAAAUAUCAAUCUAAGCUUGUAGAAUUGGAGUGAAGUAUAAAAUCCUCUCCCUUAAUUAUAGCAAAACAACUUUUUCAAGGCGAAUUGAAACUUUUGUUUUCUAUAAUUAAUAUUGCUGACUUGCAACACUUAACAUAAUAAUCAUGCUCCCACUAGCAUAAUGAUUAUUAUCUUACUAGCAUAACACUUAUGCUCCCACUAGCUUUGACAUGUAUCCAGAGAUCAGCUGGACUUUUAGAAACCAACACUUUAUUGACUUUUCUACCAAAGUUCAGAUUUCUGAUACGCAAUUUCUUUGAUAAGACUUUAUCAAAACCAUACACCUUUCCUUAGAUAGCUCACUUGUGUGUCUAAACAAUUAUGAAGAGGGAUGUCGUAAUCAUAAUGUUUAGACCUUUUGUCAUUCUCACAAUUGCUAUCUACUCAAAAUCUACUUAGUGAAAGAGUUUCCUUACCAUCAUUUUCAUGAAUCGAAGAGAAACCUUAUGACACUUAGAUUUUUAUGGUGUAUGUGUUCCUAUCCAUGUGAAUUUGUCAUAACCAUAAUCACAAGACAAGGUUAGUGACAAAUCCAAACUCAUAUAGACUGAACUUGUUCAAUCUUAAUUUCUUGCCACCUGGUAGCACAAUGCCCACCAUUGCUUCCAUGUUGUUAUGCAAACAAUUGAGAACUCAUAGAACUCACAAGCAUAAUCAACUUUUAACUGGAAUAGACACAAAAAUAAGAAUAUGUCAACACGAUAGGUUACAAACCUCAAGUCGUGGGCUAGUGAUUCAAAAAAUUCUUGAUUAGUUCUUGAAACUAUUUCAGAAUCUUUUAGACUCCCACUGUCCUCUUGACAUAUAAGACUUCUCUUUGUCAAGAACCAUUCCUUGACAAUACAAAUAUUCAAGAGCUAGUGCGGACUCUUAUCAAGUUAAACACUUAUCACUAUUGGUCUUAGCUGGUCUUUGUUUUAUCCAAAACAUCACAACUUACCAAUCUCAAAUGUACAAGUAUAGGAAACAUCUUACUCUACAUUUGACAAGUGUUAUGAACUUUCUAAAGACUAUGUCACUCAAGUUACAAUCUUGGAGUAUAACUCCAGGAUUUGUUUUUGGAACGAAGUAUGAAUUAUCUUUUGAUUUAACCAUUUCAACAAUUCACGAUUCCUCUCCUCAGGCAACAAACACACUAAGGUGUCCUUAGAGGAUCAAUUGUGAUAUGGUUCCAUAAUCACUAAGAUAAUCAUAAAACAAAAUACACAAGUACUCUCCCAUCUCUUCAGAUUGGAGAAACUUUUAUCUUUCUGCCUUAUUUGAUUCUUCUUAUUCAUUCUGCCAUACAUUGAAACUUUUCCAAUGUUUCAGAAUUACACUUAAACUCGUAAGCAUAACCAUAUUUACUAAACUUUAGUAAAUCAUAACGAAUAAUCUUAUCUACCUUUGUGGUGGACCUGACUAGUGCACAACUUAAUGUACCCGAUCCUUUAGUCCUUCGCUUGACUCACAUGCGAAUGUGAACAAGGAAUUAGUCUUAAUUUACCAAAGAUGAAAAUUCUCAUUCAUCACACAAUACAACUUGCAUGAUUCCAAGUUUCUAUCCAACUGAAACUUGGGUGAUGAGAAUCUUUCCUUAUUUGGUAAAUUAUGACACUACCACUAAUGAAAGAAUCAAAUCCAUUUACCCAUAUUGCUUAUCAAUGGAAACAUAUAAGCAACAACCUUUUUCACAAAUGUCAUUGUAAGGAUACUUAAAAUAAAUAAAAUCAAAACCAUUUUCUUUUAUUUUAAAACUUUGCGGAAAACUUAUCCUUAAAAUCCAUAUGGAAAACUUGUUGUUAUCUAUUCCUAAGCAAUAUAUCAUAACUCGUAAGUAACAACUCAAAUUUCUGAUCACCGAACAAUGCGAUCGAAAUCCAUCUUCACGAUCAGAAUCAACAUAUACUUCCUUUAAGUUUCUUCACUCUUCUUUGAUUCUUAAAACAUCAAUAUGUGACCCAGUCACAUCAUGCAAUAAGAAUCUCAGAAUAGAAACUUAAUAAAGUUAGAUAAUGGACUUUACCUAAAGCAGAGUCAAACAUUUGACUUUACUAUCCUUAUGGACUUUUAGGUAAAUUUGGCAGCUUCGCAACCAAUGCCCUUCCUUUGGCAACAGAAACAUAUGGACUCUUUGGAAACAGUACACAGACUUAGCCUUUCUAUUUACCAUUUGGUCAACCAAGUUGACUAUGGCUAAUCCCUUUCAAUUGGGAAGAGAAAGUUUUUCUGGACUUCUAAUGUUACCAUUGUCAAUGUCCAUGGAAGUUUGGGAAGUUGAUCUUCCAAUUAAAUUUUGCUUUACCGAUGCUCCAAAUCAUUGUUGAUUCAACAUCAUCAAGCAAAUAGGUAAGAUCAUUAAGGUUCAUGUCGUUAUCUGUCAUCAGGGAGUGACUGAAGAACCAAGUCAACAGCCAGCUACCUCGAGAAUUCGACACCCGACUCUCACGACUUGUCAAUAUGGGACUUAAUUUCCAAGAGCUAAGCACAUAUAGACAUUGUUUGCCAAUAGGGAUUGAGUGACUUAGAACUUAUCAGCUCUUGAAACUUGUGGGAUAGGGAUAUUUAUUGGAGGAGGUGGAGGAAGUGAAGUAUGAUUUCCAGUCCCACUAAUGCACAACUAAGGGAUUGAUCUUUCACCUUGGUUGCCAUUUGGGAUAUCAUCUUCAUUAGGAAGCUUGUUCCUAAAGAUUUGGGAAGACCAUAGCUGUCUAAACUAGACAUCUAUAAUGGGAGAAAUUCAAGUUAGUUGAUUUAAAGUCCUUAAUAUAACACCCAAUAUGAAAUAUUAAGGCUAGGACCCAAUAACCUAUUUAUAACUGGAAGAGGGAUGCCGUAAUCCAAAUUAUAAAAUAGUUGAAGGUAGGUAAAUGACGAUUUACCAAUUUCCACCAUUAGAACGAAAUAUUUUAUUAUUAGGUUUUAUUGGUUUUGAAACUCCUAGAUCUUUUGAGAUACAUUGAACUUUUCAAUGGCAUGUUUGAAUCUCGAUUGUGCCCUCUCAAGUUUGUGACUGGGAUGCCGAGGAUCACAAACAAGGUGUGAAUAACCAUACAAAUUGACUUGGUACCCUUAACAAUAUUACCUAAUCGAUGUGCCGGUUAACCACACACGCUCCACCGAUCUAUAAUAAAGUCAAGUUACCCUUUGCCACUCUUACUAGUCCAUGUUAGUGUGCCGGUUAACCACACACGCUCCACUAACGACUUGGUAAGGUACAAAGUGUAAUUUUAUGGGCUAGCACCAAUUUCACAUUUUCCUAAAGUAACUAAGAUUGGGAAUUUAUAAUGUAUAGUUACUUUAUAAUUCAUUAUACUUUUAAUGAGAAUUUAAAGUCGUAUCCUACCCGUUCGGCUAACGACCCUCCACCGAUCAAGGAAGCGGUGGGUGAGAGUGGACACCCAUUAAGUCACCAUUUUAUAGGCAACAACCUUAUACCCCCCUUAUAGACCGGCUUCGUGAAUGAGGCCUACUAACGGUAAGAAUGACAUAUUCUUAUACAUAUCUAUAUAAUUAAAAUUAUAAUAAUAGUAUAAGGGUGUAUUUUAAACAUUUAAAAUACUUGGUGGUUUAAUCUAUUAAUUAAACUAUACUCUUAAUUUAAUUAAACUUAAACCAUGUCUUUAUGGAAUUAUUAACUCUUUUAAUUAAACACUUUAAUUAAUUUAAUGAAGUCCAUAAAGUUUGAAUUUUUUUAACUUUUAAAAAAAAUAUUUAAUUUCGAAUUAAAGUGUAAGACUUUACAAAUUCCAAAACUUGAGGGCAAGUUUUGAAACUAUUUCAAGACUCUUCAAAUUUGUAACUUAUGGUUUUAAUGGUUCAUAAAGUUAAAGACUCUUCAUUUUAUGAAACAUACUAUUCUUUAAUGACAACUUUUAAAGAAGUGACUUUUGGUUAUCCAUGACUUGAGGACAAGUUAUGGACACCAUCAUUAACAUUAAGAUCAUGAAUUAAACAAGCAUGUACGUUACACACAAUUCCUUUGAUCUUCUAAAACUCAUAAGAACAAAUAUUCAUAUCAACAAUUUCAAGAAUCAUAAAUAAACCAUAUAAAACUUGAAAUUUUGAUAAUAACCUUUUAUUUGGAUGAGAAUAAACAUUACCAUAACAUCAAAACCAAGUUUUAAGAACAAAAACACUUUGUGGUAAUGAUUCUAAUCCAAAACAGGCCAAAAACAAAUUUUUUUUUCACUGAACAGUCACCACCUCGUGGUAAACUGGCAGAUUCCAAAAAAACAGUUUUUCAUGCAAAUUGCAUCAAGUAUACAGAAAACAAUCCUAGGCUCUGAUACCACUGAUGGGUUUUGAGCAUUCUAACACUUCCUAAGUGUACAUGCAACCCUAAUAACCUUGAAUCUAUGUUUUCUCUAUAUACAUGCAAAUUUGUUUUUCAAGGUUAUUUCCUAACUAGCAUGGCAUGGGGAUUACAUAAAACAUAAAAAACUAGUAGAAAUACAUACCUUGUUGUUGCUUGGAUUCCUUCAAGACUUUGUGAGCCUAGCACCCCAAAUGUUGUGCCUCAAAUGCUUCACACAACACUACAAACUUGGAAUAACUUGAGAGAAUGUCACUUAGCCUUAAAAAUCGGUUAUGCCCUCUUAUGAAUACCCUAGUCCUGAUUUUGCAUGUUAUAGGGUUUCUUUUAUAGUGUGUCAUAAUUAGGAGUUACAAAUGUAAACCCUAAUUGUGAUGACUCUUCAUUUCUUAUGACUCAUGGGUUUGUAACUCCCAUGGACUAUCCAUGGAGCUCCAUAUGGUUAUAACGAAACCCAUAAACCAUGGCUCAUUAAUCCACCAUAAAAGAAUUGACGAUUGUCAUAAUCAACCCUAUAUAUUUAAUUAGUCUCACUUUGAUCACCAAAUUAAUACUAGAUUAAUACUUGAUCAAUACUAAUUAAAUAACACUAUUAUUAAUAUAUUAUAACUUAUAAUAUAUUAAUAAUCACAAGUGUACUUUCUCUCAUUUUGUCUAUCCAAGUAUUGCGAUGCCAUGCAACCCAAAUGGACCAUGUCGGGUCGGGUCAAGUACAUACCAAAUAAAGUUAUGGACUUAGACACAAUAUCCAACAAUAACAACAUAUAUUGGGUCCAAAAAUAAUAGACUGGAUUACCCAUGGGCCCACAAUAUGAGUUUGGAUUGCCUUGCAGGCCCACAUCACAUAUUUGGCUUGUUCCCGAGCCCACAACAUAAGUUUGUCUUGCCCUUCAGGCCCACAACUUAUGUAUGGCUUGCUCUUGGGUUUGUUGGCCAAAGCAUAAAACAAUACUACCUCAACCCAACCAUACUAUGUCGACAUAUACACAAUAAAUAACAUAUAUCUACGAAACAUAUGGACAUAUAACCAGUCAACAGACAAACAUGCAGAUCUACAGAUCACUACCGCAUAGUACAUCAUAUUUACCAGGAUACCGAUCUAAUAGAUCACUAUAAUAUAUCAACAUCCUCUAUACCAUGAUAUAUAAUCUAGUGGGUCGGUAUUGGUGUCUUCGACCCACAAGUACAAUUAGCAAAACUCACCUCAAUCCGGACAGAUAGUUGAGUAGGUCUCUGCUCCGAAUAUCAUCUCUAGCCGUCACAUAUUCAUCAAAUAGCGACCAAUCUCAAAUACAACUCAAAAUACCUGAAAUACCCUUAGGUCAAAUUUGGAAAAUGUCAACGGUCAAAUUCAAAGUCAACUAUAGCAGGUCGCCACGCUGUGGCCACCUAAUGACAAAACAAUCGAGUCUUAGCCUAACCGCCACGUCGUGGUGACCUUGGUCAUGCCUUGGGCACUGGGCUCACCAACAACUUAAUGGAUUAAGUCCAUUUCCUUGAUCGUAAGGCAUUCAAAGCCCAUAUCUAAUCCAUUCUAAGGUCCAUGUGGAUAAAGUUUCCAACUUUAUCCCUUUAGACUCUCUAAGGGAAAGAGAUCUCGUUUCUAGACAUAAAAAGGGCAAAAAUAUAACUUGGCUUAACCUAUUAAGCACUUUCUAUUGAAGACUACUAGAUCCUAUUUCCAAAACAUUUCUAGCAUCAAAUAACAACAUAAAAAUCCUUACUUUCUAGACAUGCAUAUCCAAUACAUGUCUUGGACUCUAUUAGGUGAAAAUGAGGGUUUUUGGUCAAAUCUUCCAUGCAUGAUGCUAAAACUCAAUGCUAUUCCAGAACCAAAGCAUCUAAGUUCAAAAAUGACCUAGAGAUUCAUAAAGUUGCAAACUUUAUGAGAUCCCACCACCUAAUAAUCAAGAGCAUGAAGAUUAAGCAUAGAAACCUAGAUCUAUGUACAAUAAACCAAAAAGCUUGGAAUUUGGGGACUUAUAAGAGCCCAGAAGAUGCAUUAUAAGAUGGUGAGAAUAGUUGCUUGCUGAAUCCAAGCAUAGAAGUUACCUCCUUCUUCUUCAAUCCCCAAAAAAUCAACACAAAAAUCUUAGAGAGCAAAAAUGGAGGAUAGGGUUUGCUUGAAGGCUGAGAGAGUGUGACAGAGGAAGACGUGACUAACCCUAGCCAUCACAUUCCCUAAAAUACAACGCAACCCCAGAUAUUAGAGUUUCUCAUUAAAUAUCUACCAUGCCGUGGCCAUAGGCUGCCACGUCGUUGUCACAACUGUAAAUUUUGAGCCAUGUAAUCUAUACAUUCAAGUUAAUGUGAAUCAAAAACUUCAAUCAAAUACAACAUGCUAGAACUACAAAUAGUCAUCAAACAAUUGGAGACCCUAGAAGUUCUUAUUAAGUCUAAUUUAGGCUAGAACUUCCUUAUUGGAUCCAAAUGGGCCAAUAAGCUUCCAAUUAGACUAUCAUGGGCUUAGAACCCUAAUUGGGCUCUAAUUGGACUCACACUUAUUUAUUUUAACAUUUUGGGCCAUAUUGGGCCUAGAAUUAAAUAAAUUAAAAGCCUUGAUACAUGAAUAACCUAAACUAGUCCAAUAAAAAUAUAAAAAUCCUACUACAUUCUUUUAGACUAAAAACAUACCUAAGGCUAACUCUAAUAUUGGGCUUAGGAGCAAAAGGCCCAAAUUCCUUUUUUUCCUCCAUGUUUCGGCCCAAUACCCAAGCCCAAGAGGAUUUGAAGAUAGUUGACUUAAGCAUGCCACCUCAUCUUUACCCAUAGGAUAUCCAAGCAACAUCUCAUGCUUCCAUGCAAGCAUCACUUCAAAAAUCACUUCUUUCUCUUCCUCUCUCUCACUCUCGGCCAUACACACUUACACACACCAAAAAUAUCUCAAAUUCUCUCUAGAUUCACUCAAGAACACUCUCUUCUUCCCUCUCCAAAAUCUCGAAAAUUUGGAAGCAUUCAAGAAGGUUCUUCCACAAAAUUCUUCAUCUAAGGUAAGAUCAUGCAUAGAUCUAUGGUUUAAAUUCUUUUGUUAUCAAAAUCCUUCCCUAAUCUAUACAAAAAUCGUGAUCUUACACCCUAGAAUCAUCUCAAAACUCAAGAUCUUCAUCAAAGGGAGCCAAGGCCAAAAACACUUCAUUUUCCUUCCAUUUUUCCUUGCAAAACCGAACCAACACCUCAAGGUGAGAUUCAUACCCCUAUUUUCUGUUUUUAAGAGUUUUGGGGGGGGGGAAUACAAGUGAAAGUGUAGAUCUAUAUGUGUUUGUAUGCCUUGUAUGAUUUCCAUGCUUAUAUGUAUGCUUAUAUGUGUUUUAAUGUUGGAUCUAGCCAUUAAACCCCUCAAAACCGAGAUAUAACUUAUGUUUUAUGAUUUUAGCUUCAAAUAUAUUUCUACAUAUAAAGUGAUACAAGAAAAAUAGCUAAGUGGUUAGCAACAAUUUUCUUUAAGCUAAAAACACACAUUUUGGGCCAAAAAUGUGAAAAAUACAAAAUUAAGGGCCCAAAUUGACAUUUCACAGAUUCUGAUGGAUGAAAUGUGCCAAAACAGUUUCCAUAAAACUAUUUCUGGAAUUAUAUUCAAUUAGAGGAUUAAAAACAUAAAUUUCAAGCUUAAUGGGCUAAAAAUGACAUUUUCGGCCCAAUGAGGCCCAUUAUGCGAAUUUUUCUGUUUUGGAGGGCCAAAACUGUGAAUUUCUGUAAAACAGUGGACUAUAAGUGUCCCAAAUCCUUUUCAAAGGUUUAAAAUGCUUUUUAAAUUUAAAAAGGACCAAAGUUGCAAAAAUUUUCCAAUUUGGGCCAAAAUUGUCAAAGUUGCGAAAAUAAGGGAUUAAAACCGAGAAAACUGCAUUUUCAGGGACUUAAACUGUUUUCUAUGAAAAAUAUGCUGAAAAAUAUUAAUUUCAAUAAUUUUUGGUGUUAAAAUGUCAAGAAAAAUAGUUUAAGGACCAAACCGGGAAGUAUUUAAUAAAAAGGGUUGAAAAUGUAAAUUUUACAAAUAAUGAGGGGCUGAAAACAGGAAUAUUUCAAGGCUAAUUCAAUAUACACAAUUUGAUUAAAUAAUGGCAUCGCGGCUAUCGACGAAAUACAAUACACUACAAUACCAAAAGUCGUUGUUAAACGAAUUGGUUCGGUCUCGAACCAAUAAAAUCCGAAACUACUAACACUACGACACUAUGACACUACGACACUAUGACGCUAUGACACUACGACACUACGAUUCAUACAACUAACGAUUUGGAAUUCACUAUACAUACGAGUGUGCACAGACGUCUACGCACCAUCUUUGGGCCCCAAAAGUGUAAAAUCUUGUUCGUUGAGCCUAGCUAGCCCAAUGACCUGAUCUUAAGGCCCGAAGACCUCUAUCUUACGAAGUGUUGGGUUUUACCAAUCCGACACGACGUAACCGGACUUUCAAUGGCUGUAGACUACUGGUCCCCAAGGGUCCUUUAGUGUCGCCAGUGGAGUCUGCCUUUUUGCGAGGCGGGUCUGGGACCCCUCGUACAUUUUUAUCCCCAACCGGUUAAUGGAGUCACCGGGGUCUUCGUGACCUCUUUCUCUUCGGAUGUGGGACUACACCUAGUCAGGGCGAUUGGAUAACGCGAUUAGUACUGACGACGCCUUCGGGUUCGUUAGUAUAACUAUAAACUGGGCGUUUGUGUAACGCGGGUUUGUAGUAAAUAAUCCUGCUCGAGAACCUUCCAACGUCGCCUGUGACUGACACUAUGCGCUAUGCAAUGAUUUCAAUGUAACUUCAUGUAAUAUAAGAAAUUAGGAAAACAUCGGGUUUUCCUAGGGUUUUGUUUUAAUACAUACAGAUUCAAAACGCAUACAACCUUGAUGAACAAAUUUUCUUUAAGUAUAGAAACAAACAAGCAUACCUAUGGAUCUUCACAACAUUUUCAAAAGCUUUUCUGUUCAGAAAAUAUUGGAUUUUCUGGUGGUUUUCAAACAAUACAAAACAUUGGAUUUCAAACACUACUUAUGAACUCACCAACAUUUCAUAUGUUGACGAUUUUCAAAAUACUUGUAUUCUCAGGGAACCAGUGAGUCAAGGGAAAUCCUAUUCAGUGACGGAUGCGGUUUAUUUUUGUAUGAAUUGAACGAAUUAAUUUUUGGGGAAUGUAAUGUUUAAACAAUGUAUGAUAUGUAAACGCUACUGGUUGUACUAUGUUAAUGAAUGGUGACGAAUGUUGUUAUGUUUCAUAUAUAUUCAAUGUUAUGGUAUUCAAUUGAGUCACGACAACCCCCGGACGUUUCCGCCGUCUGGUUCGGGGGUGUGACAGUCGUGGUGGCCAUUUAAAAGUCGCAGUACAAUGAACAUUGACACGUCGUGGGAUGCCUUCUCUACAAAGUGGUACUUCCCAAUAUCCAUAAUAUGAUAAAUUAAAGUACCUACAAAAAUCUAGAUGUUAAAAUUUUCCUCCACUUGAAUCAGAUUUCAUCCUUGAAGUCCGUUGAUGCAAACAACUCUGGGUAAUGCUCCUUCAUCUCUGCCUCGGAUUCCCAGGUCCACUCGGAACCCUUCUGAGGCUACUACUAGACCUUGACCAAAGAUACCACCUUGUUGCACAAGUCCUUUGUUUCUCUAUCCAAAAUCGCCACUGGCCUCACAACAUAGUUCAGCAACCUGAAUAUCAUCCAAAGGAACAACCGUUAAAUCAUCAGCUACACACUUCUAAAGUUUUGAAACAUAGAAGGUGUUGUGAAUCUAACUGAGAUCUUCAGGAAAAUAUAGCCUGUAAGCUACUUUGCCAACCCUGGAAACCACUUGAAAUGGUCUAAUACAAUGUUAACUAGAAGUUACUCAAUCACAAUGACUAUCUUUCGCUCUCUAACUGAAGACCCAACUACCAGUGAGAACUAAACAAUCGUUGAAUCCUCGAACUAUACUCACAACUAACUCCAUCAAUAUACUCCAAGGAAUCGGGAAGCCUCAGUUCUAAACUUCAGAAACCAUAUUGUAAGACUAGCGAUCAUCUGUUUGUCGCACCUACGCCUAGUCCUCGACUAGGAACACCAUCAAAAUAUACGAAAAGAAUACACAAUAUAUAAAUGCACUGACAAGACUUUAAAGGAAGUUAAUCAAUCGCAUACUAGACUAACCCAAGCAUUCAUUUAGCUCAACAACCCUGCCAUUUGUUGGUCACAUUCGAGUCUACCCUGGAUUUGCUUAUCCCGUAACCACGCUCGGGCUUACCCCCAAUCUGAUAACCAUUAACUGCACUUGGGUUUACCCCUGAUCUGAUAGCCAAUAAUUGCGCUCGAGCUUACCCCCGAUCUGAUAACCAAUAACUGCACUUAGGCUUACCCCCGAUCUAAUAACCACAAAAUUGCGCUCGGAAAAUAAACAAACAUGAACAUUGGGAUCACAGCCUUUGUCUGGAAUACCCUACAAGGAACUCAGCAUAAGUCUGGAUUGCCUCCGAGCCUACAACAUGUGUCUGGAAUGCCCUUCCUGACCCUCAACCAAUGUGCGAAUUGCUCCCAGUAUCUUGGCCUCCCAAAAGACUACCAAUCCCAAACAUGCCAAAAAGACUAACAAUCUUGAGACCUAAAAGUCUCCAUCAAAUGACUACCGAGUCCCGCCCAUAUGAAACAUACGUCCACUGGUUCCUAAUACCUCAUGACACUUUCUAACCACUAAAAUGAUAAUUUCAUGGUACUUUGUCGAUCUUGCUGUCAUUCCACCACUAGCCUGAAAACUCACGACCAUCACCACAGAGGCCUAAAAUACUCAACCAUCAAUCCACCGUCUUGUAGGAACUCAAUCAACAUCACUCUCAACGUUAACCAAACACAACUUGGGCCAUACUAUUUCACCACACACAAUUCCUUUCAUAAUACAACCAACUACCAAUGUGAAAUCAGUUGAAAACAUGGAACGUUAACCAAAAACAACUUGGGCCAUACUAUUUCACCACACACAAUUCCUUUCAUAAUACAACCAACUACCAACGUGAAAUCAGUUGAAAACAUGGUCGCACACAACUAGAAUGAUAUAGGUGGUGGUAAUCUUGGUCUAAUGUAAAGACUACAGACCAAUAAAGAACCAUGCCAAUAGAUGGAGCCAAGUACUCUCAUGCUAUCAUACUCAGCCUACAUAUAUCCAUCAUGACAAUAUCUAAUUUAACUUAUCAUCAUACUCAAGAGAAUCCUAUAACCAACCCUAGAUCUACUGCAUUUCUUCUUCGCACAACCUCACCCAAAGGUGAAGUAUUAGUAGAUCUAAUGAAAUGACGACCCUCAAUCAUGAACAAAAACAUCCUCAUGAACGAUCGAUACAGAUCUUAUCAAUACGUAAGUAGGUCGAUAAAACCUCUAAAGUUAACCAGAAUUGUUGCUUAGAACCAUGUACAUCUUCCAAACUCUAGUCGAACUUGAUGAUAGGCUAAUGAAUCCAUAGUACUUCAAUUAAUAUGGCUCAAAACUUCUGAAGAAUCUUUGCUUUGAUGAUGAAUGAAAUAUCCAAUUUAUCGAGAAUGCAUUGACACCUAAUCAAACGAACCGAUACACUGCUGAACCAAAACCCACGUGGAGCUUAACAUACUCAUCUCUGAAACUGAUAUACCGAACGGAAACUACUUAAUCUAGACUAUAAAAUACAAUCCAUACAACGACCUGACAAAUCCCUCAACAACCGAUACCUAACUUCAUCGAUCCUAGCGCCUCCUUAUCUAUUCAUUGGCAUCCCAAAAGGAACCAAUGGCUACAACGAGUUCUCCUCUAACAGCUUAUUGCCGCGAAGACGAUUAUUGCAUUCCUAAACACAUACCUCUAAUGGAUCCACCAUUCUUCCGACACCAAAAGCUCGAACAGAUAGAUUAUCCUCCAAGCAUAAUACCCAGUUCUCCCCCACUUAGGGUUCGAACUACCACCAAUUGACAUUGAAAAUUGAACAAAUACGCUAACUAGCUAACCCAAAAAAUAUUAUCCCUAAGCCAUUGGAGUGUAUAAUACAACGCAAGUUGAUCAUACAGAUAAAGACCAAGCCAACUCAAGGAGAUUCCAAUUCUCAGAUGGAAACCUUAGAAACUUCCAAUCACAACCGCCUCUAACAUCCAGAAUUCCAUGCAGAUGCACAAGAAAUAAUUGAUAGUCCGUUCAUGAAACCAACUUCCUAUCUAGAAACGAAUGGGCUCUUACACUCCUCGCUUGCAAAUCUCCAACCAUCGAUUCAUCAUGAGGAUCAUUCCAAAAUACAAGAGGCAUCAUUCUCAUAAUUGGGAUACAUCGGAGACAACAAUAGUUGGUGUUCGCAAUUCACUUCCCUGAUCACCUAAAACAAUCAAAUAGCACUUGUCCUGACUAUAUUCAAAGAAAGAAGACCCUUGAUCUCAUCUCAAGGAAAUCAUACCACAAGGAUCCUCUUGUGCAUUCUUACACUGCCUUACAUACUACCAAAAGCCAAAACAAUAUAGCCAUGUAUUGGGUCUACACCCUAACUUUGAAGAUCACAACUCUGCUCUGUCUUUUCUCCAAGCAUAGCAAGCUAGAAGAACAUAACCUCAUCGUAGAUAGCGACAUUCCAAUCUAUAUGUCAACCACUCACCUUCCAGCUGUAAUCCUCGAGCCAAUCAUAACAAUCGCUUCCUUCAUGAGUCCCACGAAUCAACUGGCACUUCUUUCAUCUCAAGUUCGUAUCCAGUAAGGAUCAAGAUUGUGACUUGAAGGUCAUAAUUGGGAGUCUAGCCUGAGGUGGAGAGCAGGUGCACGAUCAAGUACUGCUUACAGUCAAUGAGUCUAAAAGAUAGACUUGAAGGAAUAUAGAAGUUAUAAUUAAUACCUAGGAUGAAGAGAUGACGUAUGGAGUCAUUAUACGACCCUGUUUCGUUGAUGAUUCUGGGACGUAAUCAUCCUAAGGGGGAGAUAAUUGUAACGCCCGCAGAUCCGGGCUAGUUGAAUUAGAGGCAAUAGGGGUCGAAAACGACUUUUCGACAAAAAGAUUAUUUAGAAUAAAUAACCUUAACCAAGUUGUAGAAUAUUUCACAAGGUUUCCGUACAUAUAAAGUGUUGGGUUUUGAUCAAUCUAACACUUCCUAAGUGUGCAUGCAACCCUAAUAAACCUUGGAUCUAUGUUUGUCUAAAUACAUGCAAAAUAAUAAUUUUCCAAGGUUUCUUCCUAACUAGCAUAGCAUAAGGAUUAUGAAUCAUAAAAGUACUAGUAGAAAUACAUACCUUUUGAUGAUGGUUGAUUGUUUAGAGUUUGAGAGCCAAGCACCAAUAGUGUGAAUGCCUCAAAUGGAAUCACAAAUCACCACAAACACUUGGAAAACUUUGAGAGAGUAGUAUACUUUCUUGUGGAAUCGGCCACCACUAAGUCUCACACUACUAGUGUCAUAUUUCUUGCAUCAUAUGCUUCUUUAUAUAGUUCGGGUGAAGUGCAACCCAAAUAGACCAUGCCGGGUCAGGUCAAGUAUGUACCAAAUAAGUUAUGGACUUAGACACCUUAUCCAACAGACUCCCACUUGGAUAAGUCUAAUAACUAUAUUUGCGUAUGUUACUUCAGGAACCAACCAACAAUCGUAGCUCUCGAAAACUCUAUUGAACUAUGAAGCGCCAUUUUAGAUAAGUGAUCAUAUAAUCCUCUGUUCUCAUGAUAUCAGCCGGACAAAUACAUGGAACAACGUCGUACUUAUUGUCCAUCAGUUUGUUUCCCGAUUUUCGAUUUGUUUGACAAAGAACUUAAUCGAACACAUCAAUUUAGUUCUGACCGGCCGGUACAUAGGUCACAACAAAAUCAUCGAGGGGCCCAGAUAUCGCUUCUAUUUCUAGAAGGAACAGAUAAACUUCGACUCAUAUGCUUGUUCUACUACUUGUUGAAUUGUACACAAAGGCACGUUUUAUAACAUCAAGUUACUGAUGCGUUUACGUGCAAUCAAUGCACAACCAACUCA
rnacentral:lncRNA from 1 species